rnacentral:rRNA from 1 species
GAAGGGGCUAGCGUUGCUCGGAAUUACUGGGCGUAAAGGGCGCGUAGGCGGACAGUUUAGUCAGAGGUGAAAGCCCAGGGCUCAACCUUGGAAUAGCCUUUGAUACUGGCUGUCUUGAGUUCGGGAGAGGUGAGUGGAAUGCCGAGUGUAGAGGUGAAAUUCGUAGAUAUUCGGCGGAACACCAGUGGCGAAGGCGACUCACUGGCCCGAUACUGACGCUGAGGCGCGAAAGCGUGGGGAGCAAACAGGAUUAGAUACCCUGGUAGUCCACGCCGUAAACGAUGAGUGCUAGUUGUCGGCAUGCAUGCAUGUCGGUGACGCAGCUAACGCAUUAAGCACUCCGCCUGGGGAGUACGGUCGCAAGAUUA